CAACACCCCAUACUAGCAAAAGAGUUAACACCCCGGAACGAGAAGAUAAGUUCUGAGUUCAUCUCUUCACCCCUCCGUCCGCGUUUUUCCCUCCGGAAACCUAACUACCCAAGCUCUAACUUUGAAGAAGAAGAAGGUAUCGAACAGACCUAAGAGGAGAUCGGAGAAGAAGAAGAUAUCAAAUUAAAGUUUACUUGAAGUGAUGUCUAUUACACUUCCAAGCAAAGAAUGGAUGGAUGCACCACGGCAGUCGGCUCAAUUUUUACACUACGAGGGGCAGAUAGAUUACACUACGAGGAAAAUUAGGAGAGGCGGAAGUUCAACACUAUUAAGCGUCCCAGCAAUGGCUCGCGAUAACAAUUAUUAGUACCAAGGUUUUAAAUCGUGAAUCGAACGUGAAUCGUUUUUGAAAAUUUGAGAAUCGACUUCCAACCAUUGUUUUGUCUUCUGAUAUUAUUUAAGUUCAAUUGUAUUUGAUUAUUAGUUGACACCGAAAUAAAUAAAAUAAUUAUAAUAUUAUGUAA